rnacentral:tRNA from 1 species
CCUUAGGUGGUGCAAAUGGUUAGCAUGCUCAGCUGCUAACUGAUUAGCUGGAGGUUCAAGCCCACCCAGAGGC